rnacentral:rRNA from 1 species
AACGAACGCUGGCGGCAGGCCUAACACAUGCAAGUCGAGCGAGGACUUCGGUUCUAGCGGCGGACGGGUGAGUAACGCGUGGGAAUGUGCCCUUCUCUACGGAAUAGCCCUUGGAAACAGUGAGUAAUACCGUAUACGCCCGAAUGCGGAAAGCUUUAUCGGGGAAGGAUCAGCCUGCGUUGGAUUAGGUAGUUGGUGGGGUAAUGGCCUACCAAGCCGACGAUCCAUAGCUGGUUUGAGAGGAUGAUCAGCCACACUGGGACUGAGACACGGCCCAGACUCCUACGGGAGGCAGCAGUGGGGAAUCUUAGACAAUGGGGGCAACCCUGAUCUAGCCAUGCCGCGUGAGUGAUGAAGGCCUUAGGGUUGUAAAGCUCUUUCAGCUGGGAAGAUAAUGACGGUACCAGCAGAAGAAGCCCCGGCUAACUCCGUG